GGAAAGGCGCGCGAUACAGGGUGACAGCCCCGUACACAAAAAUGCACAUGCUGUGAGCUCGAUGAGUAGGGCGGGACACGUGGUAUCCUGUCUGAAUAUGGGGGGACCAUCCUCCAAGGCUAAAUACUCCUGACUGACCGAUAGUGAACCAGUACCGUGAGGGAAAGGCGAAAAGAACCCCGGCGAGGGGAGUGAAAAAGAACCUGAAACCGUGUACGUACAAGCAGUGGGAGCACGCUUAGGCGUGUGACUGCGUACCUUUUGUAUAAUGGGUCAGCGACUUAUAUUCUGUAGCAAGGUUAACCGAAUAGGGGAGCCGAAGGGAAACCGAGUCUUAACUGGGCGUUAAGUUGCAGGGUAUAGACCCGAAACCCGGUGAUCUAGCCAUGGGCAGGUUGAAGGUUGGGUAACACUAACUGGAGGACCGAACCGACUAAUGUUGAAAAAUUAGCGGAUGACUUGUGGCUGGGGGUGAAAGGCCAAUCAAACCGGGAGAUAGCUGGUUCUCCCCGAAAGCUAUUUAGGUAGCGCCUCGUGAAUUCAUCUCCGGGGGUAGAGCACUGUUUCGGCAAGGGGGUCAUCCCGACUUACCAACCCGAUGCAAACUGCGAAUACCGGAGAAUGUUAUCACGGGAGACACACGGCGGGUGCUAACGUCCGUCGUGAAGAGGGAAACAACCCAGACCGCCAGCUAAGGUCCCAAAGUCAUGGUUAAGUGGGAAACGAUGUGGGAAGGCCCAGACAGCCAGGAUGUUGGCUUAGAAGCAGCCAUCAUUUAAAGAAAGCGUAAUAGCUCACUGGUCGAGUCGGCCUGCGCGGAAGAUGUAACGGGGCUAAACCAUGCACCGAAGCUGCGGCAGCGACGCUGAUGCGUUGUUGGGUAGGGGAGCGUUCUGUAAGCCUGCGAAGGUGUGCUGUGAGGCAUGCUGGAGGUAUCAGAAGUGCGAAUGCUGACAUAAGUAACGAUAAAGCGGGUGAAAAGCCCG
rnacentral:rRNA from 1 species